UACGAAGGGGGCUAGCGUUGUUCGGAAUUACUGGGCGUAAAGCGCACGUAGGCGGAUAUUUAAGUCAGGGGUGAAAUCCCAGAGCUCAACUCUGGAACUGCCUUUGAUACUGGGUAUCUUGAGUAUGGAAGAGGUAAGUGGAAUUGCGAGUGUAGAGGUGAAAUUCGUAGAUAUUCGGAAGAACACCAGUGGCGAAGGCGACUCACUGGCCCGAUACUGACGCUGAGGCGGCGGAAAAGCGUGGGGAGCAAACAGG
rnacentral:rRNA from 1 species